rnacentral:rRNA from 1 species
CAUGCAAGUCGAACGGCAGCACGGACUUCGGUCUGGUGGCGAGUGGCGAACGGGUGAGUAAUAUAUCGGAACAUACCCAGUAGUGGGGGAUAACUAUCCGAAAGGAUAGCUAAUACCGCAUACGAUCUGUGGAUGAAAGCAGGGGAUCUUCGGACCUUGUGCUAUUGGAAUGGCCGAUAUCUGAUUAGCUAGUUGGUAGGGUAAAAGCCUACCAAGGCGACGAUCAGUAGCUGGUCUGAGAGGACGACCAGCCACACUGGAACUGAGACACGGUCCAGACUCCUACGGGAGGCAGCAGUGGGGAAUUUUGGACAAUGGGGGCAACCCUGAUCCAGCAAUGCCGCGUGAGUGAAGAAGGCCCUCGGGUUGUAAAGCUCUUUUGUCAGGGAAGAAACGGAGUUCUCUAAUAUAGGAUUCUAAUGACGGUACCUGAAGAAUAAGCACCGGCUAACUACGUGCCAGCAGCCGCGGUAAUACGUAGGGUGCAAGCGUUAAUCGGAAUUACUGGGCGUAAAGCGUGCGCAGGCGGUUUUGUAAGUCUGAUGUGAAAUCCCCGGGCUCAACCUGGGAACUGCAUUGGAGACUGCAAGGCUAGAGUGUGUCAGAGGGGGGUAGAAUUCCACGCGUAGCAGUUGAAAUGCGUAGAGAUGUGGAGGAAUACCGAUGGCGAA